UACAUAAAAACUCCCCUUCUCUGUAUCUCCCGUUUUUCGGAAAUUGCUUUGAAUUGCUGCUGAAACAUGUGUGGUUAAAUAUCCUUCGUUUACAGAUAGUUGCAUAUUAAAUAAAAACAUACUUAAAUUAGAAUUUUCAAAGCAUGAUAAGAGUAUACAGAUGCAUCAAAGAGUGAAGAAGGCAAUGGAGCAGCAGUAUAAUACAUCCCUGAUAGUGGAGUAAAAACAAGAAAAGAAGUCGCUUCCUUCUCGAAAAAAUUUUUUUAAGGUAUAACCACAUGAAACCUUUACAGGAUUAUUAGUUAGGUCCCUGUGCAUGUAAAAUAACUAGUUACGACAUCUUUUGAGGAGUCAGACAUUUUAGUCCGAAAAAUGUCAAUAAAUUGUCAAAAUGUUAUAUUUAUGUUUUUUUACACAUACCACGCGAUAACUUCGAAACUAAUAAACAUAUACACCUGAGUUUUUUUUUAAUCAAUUGAAGAUAUAUAGGCGGUCAUAAUAGUGCUAAUUCAAGUCCCCUGAUUAGCGUAUUUUUGGACGUUACGUAUGCGCUGCUAAUAUAAGUCGGUUACGUGGAAUACUGUUGUUUUGCGUGUAAUAUGAUUUUUCUGUUGGUUCAUGCGUUCAGUUCAUUACGCGCCUUAAGUUCUUUAAAUUGUGUUUAAUUUAUUUAACAUUUAAAUAAUUGUACAUUGUUUGAUUAUGGAGUGUUUAAUUUGUGAAGAAACUGUAAGCGACAGUGACAAACUGGUAGUUCAAAAUCCUACAAUCCAGGGCUUAAAAACAUUAAUAAGUGCUGCAGAAAAAAGACAAGACAAUUGCGCAAAGAAUAUAUUGGACCAAAAGGAUGAUAUUUUAACAAAGAAAAAACUUGUUAAAUAUCAUUUACAUUGUAGAAAAUCUUACACUAGGCUACAAAAUCUUGAGCAUGCAAAUUGUCGAAAAUGAAGGCAACGAAGCUUGUUCAUCUCAAAGCAGAAUCCACAACAGAGGCUUCGAUAUUCGAAAAAUGUGUCUGCUAUGUAAUAAAACCGGCAAAAAGGGCAAAAAUCAGCUAUACAGACAGGUACAGGAAAGUCCACCUGACACCUACACAAAAAUAUUAGCUGCUGCUACAAAAAAAAAGGAAUGAUAUCAACAUGAUUUCUAAGCUUUCUGGUUAUGAUGAUCUAUUUGCAUACGAUGCAAAAUACCACAAAGUCUGUUAUUGUGGCUAUAUUGCAGAUAGAAAUAUUAGGGCUUCUCAAAAUAAAGACCAGAUCUCUGGUGGAUUGUCCUGAAGAAAAUUAUUCUGCGAGGCCAAUAGAAACUGAUACCGGUAAUAUAGAAAACGAAAUAUUAAUUAUUCAUAAAGCAGCCGGUAUUUAAAAAAAAUACAUGCAUGACUUAAAAUUUUCACACAACUAUUUUCCCAGUCCAGAUGAUAUAAAUCAAGCCGAAUUUCAGAAACAAAUUCCCAAUAUGCUUCUAAAAUGUGUAUUACGGUUGAUAAACGAUGAUUUUUACAAUACUCCAGAUGAUGUCGAAAUGGACACCAAAGCAGUAGUACCGUGUAACAUCGUUAUGGGGCUUUAUAACAAAAAAUAUAAAAGAAAUUAUUUUCAAAUUGGGUUAGGACUUUGCAUUCACCACGUAGUAAGAAGUAAACAAAAAAUCUUAGACUCUCUAUCUGAAAUUGGACUCAGCUGUUCCUAUAAUGACAUAAGGCAAUUAACAACUGCUUUGGCGAAUCAAAAAAUAAAUAAUAACCCAACUUUCCACGUUCCACCUGGAGUUGAAGUUGUAGAUGACGUUAAGGGUAAUUAUAUACAUGCCAGUAUCGAUAACUUCGAUUUGAAUGAAGAAAUUAUAAGUGGAAAAAACACCAUCCACAGCAUGGUAAUGGUUUUGUUUCAAAAAAAAUCCAGCGUCACCACCUUUGUAGAAAAAAUAUUUUUAGAGGAGGGGCUUAUUCACUAGAAACACCCGAAGAACAUGGUUUCAAUUUUCAAAAUAUGUAAAAUACGUAAAACCUGUAAAGCGUCCAGAAUCUGCUCGACAAAAAAAAAUAUUGCAUGGCAACUUAUUCAUAGCAUUAAGUGCGACAAAAUAUUUUUAAAUUGGACCGACUUUAAUAACAUGUUGGCUGAUAACCAAAUUUCUGUUUCCACUAUAUUUUACUUGCCAUUUAUUAAUAACCCUCCUACCGAAUAUGACACGAUAUAUACAUCGAUGGUACGAUUAGCAGAAAUAGCUGACAGUUUAAAGCAAAAUCACAUUUGUAUACCAGCAGAUUUGGCCAUUUAUUCAAAAGCUCGAGAGAUAUUAUGGAAUAAUCAAAGGCAAAGUAACGUUAAUGCUGAGAGGUAUGCAUCUCAAUAUGGCGUUUAUUGCUAGCAUUGGAUAUAUUUUUGAAGAUGGAGGUCUUAUUACCAUUUUAACAGAAACGGACAUUAACGCCCAAAAUACAUGUAAAAUUAUGUUAGACGGAAGGCAGGACUCCAGGGCUAUUCGAGGCCUAACUUUAGUUGUUGAUGCUCUUUUUCGGCUGAUGUUUAAAUCUUUAUGUAAAGAGGAAAAUCCGGGAGCCCAAGUAUUAUCAUCUUUAUUGAAAGAAGACGUUCAGAAUUUGAUAAAAAAAUGUCAAACCAAUAAAUUAAGCAGACGGCAUUUUGAAAAUUUUUUAGAAGAAAUUAAAACUCUGGAACCAAUUAUUUCAGAUUUUAUAACUACUGGCUCACUAAAUUCAAGCACUUUCAAAUAUUGGAAAGAAUUUCAAAAAUCAGUUGAUCUUCUUUGGCGUCUGUUAAGAUCUGAAAGAAAUGGCGAUUUUCAAUCACAUUAAUGUGCAGUACAAGAUACAUUACCUUACUUAUCAGCUGCUGGUAGAAACUUGUAUUUGAAAUGGGUUUCUGUAUAUUUAGCAGAUAUGGAGAACCUAAAAACUGAUGUGCCUUAUAUGUAUGAGUAUUUGAAUAAAGGUAAUUUCGUUGAUGACAACAUUUUUAAUUGUGUGGCGUCAGAUAUGGCUUUAGAAUUGGAAUAAUUGGAUUUUCACAGAAGUCUGCUGCCCUUUUACGUUGGAUUACGACCAGACAUACUUUAGAAGCAUACUCAAAAGCAUUUUUAGAUAUCACUUUCGGUGAAAAUAGCAAAUUGUAUAAUGAAGGGGAAAGAACGGCAUUAAAAAACGAAGAAGCGGUUUUAAAAAUUGUUACAAGUUUAGAAAACGAUUGGUGUAAUCCUUUUGAUUUGGAUAAUGUGCCCUCUCAAUUAAUAAACAUUUGCACUGGAAAAAUCGCAAGGAGCCUUGAAAAUUUUUACGAAAAAGCCAAUGAAAAUGUCACAAAUUUAUUUUGACCAGAAAAGCUUUUGGAAUCCCCUUAAGAGAGAAAAAGUACAAAAUUUUAAAUUUACUUCUGAAAAACAAAAACUAACUCAAAUAAAAAAAUCAUUGGUUCAGAAUGUAUGGUUCGCAGAAUUAAUUGUGCCGCUAAAUUUGAUAUGGAUCUUGAAAAUAUUUUAUCUUAUGAACUAACAUCGGUUCCAUUAUCCUUAUUUCAUGAAGACGAAUCAAUGCGGAAAUCAACAAAAUCUGAUUUAGCCAAAAAAAUUGAAUCCUUUACCACUCCUAUGGAUGCACGUCCCAAUGUAGAUUGGCUAUAUUAUUAACGGUAUGGUUGCAAUUCAAAAAAUACAAGCCACAACAUUAAUUGUUACAUUUAAUGAACUAGGAAAUGUUUUUAUAAACAAAAUUUUAAGGGAUGGAAGAAAAUAUAACUCAAAACGAAUUACUGUUGUUUUUGAUACGUAUAAAAGUAAUUCUCUGAAAAAUGCUGAAAGACUUAAACGUGGAAAUUUCAGUGCAGACUUUAAAGUUGCUGGUACUAGAAAAGUGCCCCAAUUCAGGGAAUUUAUUCGAUCCUCGUCAAACAAAAAAUCAUUGUUACUAUUUCUUACCAACUACUUUAUAAACGAAGUAGGAAAUUUACUUAGCGAAGACGAAACUGUAAUCAUAGCAGGAGUGUUUGAACUUUGUUAUCAGCUUAAUAAAAGUGAAAUACCAAGAAAAUUUGAUUAUUUAACUAGCAAUCAAGAGGAAGCUGACACAAGAAUAAUUCUUCAUGUUUUGGCAGAAAAAAAUAUUGGCAAUAUUAUUCUUGUAAAAUCCGUUAAGGCUCCGCUACCUAUCUUCUAGCCACACAGCUGAGGGGCAGCGGUGAGAGACGCGGUAGUAAUAAAUGUUUAUUUUAGAACGGUUGAUAAAAUUUCAGUCAUCCUCUUACGCCGGGAUCCGAUGUAAUUUCAGGGUUGGCCUACAUAAAUUUGGUGCAGGUUAUGGAAGUAUAAUUAUAUACCUGCAUUACUACCUAAUAUUGCUAUUAUAUAUGCAUUUUGGGUUUUUUUUUGUUUAGUGCGUGGUAGUUCCGGGAUGUAGCUGUGUGGUUUCGUUGCGAUCAUUUUUUGCAUUUUAUUUUGGUGAUUACAUACUGAAAAACUGAAGUGUUCCUGUGUUUGCACUAGUAUUUUUUUAAAAUUGAAUUAGCGGUUUAUAGUUUUUCACGAAAUCAAAAAUGUAAUUUUCAGGUCCUUUUUAUUGGCAUAAAAAACAAAUAUUGUACAAUUUGCCAACUCUCAAAAAAUCAAGGACACAAUCAGAUGCCUAAAAGGCAUAAAUGCUUUAAAAACUUUGAAGGUUCUUCAACGAGCAUGGAAGGCGAUAUUUUAAAAGAAGGAUUUCUCCAUAGUUUAGAGCAACAUGGAUUAAUCUACCAUAAAUUAAUAGCUGACGGAGACUGCAAUUCUCUGAAAAAAAUGUUAGAUGCUCAUCCAUAUAAAAAUGUCAUUGUGAAAAAAAUUGAGUGCAGAAAUCACCUUCUACGAAAUUACUCCCGGAAAAUUCGGGAUUUAGGUAAAGACGUCAAUGCUGGGCCAUUAGUUCUUCGGAAGCAAAUAAGUAAAGAACAGCUAAGAUUACGAUAUGCAGUUACAAAAACUAUCGAACAUAGAAAAAAUGAGGGUGUUCCGAUGAGAAAAAAUAAAGUUGUUAAAACAAGACAUAGACAAUUCUAUUAGCCACGUUUUUGGAGAACACAAACUUUGUGCAGAAUUGGGAUAUUUCUGUCAUGAGCAAUAUAAACCCAGUGGUAGCAUAUUAUCAGACUUAAAAAUGACAGACCUAUAUGACAAAUUAUAUAGCUUUGUCAGCUAUCUUUCAAGAAAUAGCGUGAGUUUAAUACAAGAUGUUGACAAUAAUGUAUCGGAGCAAUUUAACUCAAUCAUUGCAAAAUUUAUUGGCGGAAAACGCAUUAAUUAUUGCCAACGAGGAUCAUAUCAGGCUCGCUGUUUAGCUUCUGUAAUUUCUCAUAAUACUAAAAAGCCUAUAUACACGAUUAAAAAAUUCCUUAAUCAUAAAAGCCCGAUUGGCUUAGUUAAAAACAGGGAAUUAAAGAAAAAAUAUAUUAAACGGAAAAGAUUAUUCCAGACCAAAGAGAAUUCUGGACUUGAUAGCAGUUACGGUGAUCAAUGUCAAAAGCCUGAUCUAACACCUGAGGAGUUGCAAAAAGAAAAAGAAGAUUUUCUAGCUAGUAUUAAAAAAAAUGCAGAAGAAAUCAAAUUAAUUGAAGAGCUCACAAAGAAACAGGACCAAUCUGAUUUGUGGCACUUAGAGCGAAGAAAGCGUCUUACGGCAUCAAAUUACUAUGCAAUUUGCUCUAAAUCUAGUGCCAGAAGCAACGGUGAUACAAAAAAGCUCGUGGAACAACUUUGUACCCAAAAACAAUUCAUUCUGCUAGCAUUGAGUGGGGCAAACAAAAUGAAAAACGGGCAAUCAAUGUUUUAGAAACAUUAAUUGAUGAGAAGAUAUUACCAUGUGGCUUAUUUGUAAGCGAAAAUAUUUCAUUCUUGGCAGCGACUCCCGAUGGCCUUAUUGGGAAGAAGGGGAUUGUUGAAAUCAAAUGCCCCUUUAGUGCUAAAAAUCUCACUCCUGAAGAUGCGAUAAUGCAAAGAAAAAUAUCAUUUUGGAAGAAAAACGGAGAAAUUAAUAAAAACCACAAAUGGUUUUACCAAAUACAAGGCCAAUUGUUGGUAACUGGGAGAUCCUACUGCUGCUUUGCAGUUUGGACACCUUUGGGCAUUAAGAAGGAAAUUAUUUUAAAAAACGAUGUAUUCUGCGAAAACAUGAAAAAGAAAUUAACUAUAUUCUAUUCGAUAUGUUAUUUACCUGAGCUUGUAGAUCCUCGCAAAAAUAGAAAUAUGCAUGUUAGAAAUAUUUCCCUAAAAGAAUAUACGAUCGCAUAAGUUUUUUUUUAUAUGUAGCCAACUUUGUAUAUUUUGUAAUAAAUGUCUUGUUUUGUUUGA
rnacentral:lncRNA from 1 species